GAUGAACGCUGGCGGCGUGCUUAACACAUGCAAGUCGAACGGAAAGGCCCUGCUUUUGUGGGGUGACCGAGUGGCGAACGGGUGAGUAACACGUGUGUAACCUGCCCUUGUCUUUGGGGUAACUUCAGGAAACUGGGGCUAAUCCCGGAUAGGAGCUCCUGCUCCAUGGUAGGGAUUGGAAAGUUUCGGCGGUCGGGGAUGGACUGGCGGGUUAUCAGCUUGUUGGUGGGGUAGUGGCUUACCCAGUCUUUGACGGAUAGCCGGCCUGUGAGGGUGACCGGCGACAUUGGGACUGAGAGACGCAGCAGUCUGGAACGUGAGGCAGCAGUGGGGAGUAUUACACAAUGAGCGGGAGCCUGAUGCAGAAGCGCUGCGUGCGGAAUGACGUCUUUCGGGGUGAAAACCGCUGUCGCCUGAGACGCAGCGUGAGUGACGGUAAUGGGUAAAGAAGCACCGGCUAACUACGUG
rnacentral:rRNA from 1 species